rnacentral:rRNA from 1 species
AACAGGAUUAGAUACCCUGGUAGUCCACGCCGUAAACGAUGAGCACUAGUUAUUGGAGGUAUUGACUCCUUCAGUGACGCAGCUAACGCAUUAAGUGCUCCGCCUGGGGAGUACGGUCGCAAGACUAAAACUCAAACAAAUUGACGGGGGCCCGCACAAGCGGUGGAUUAUGUGGUUUAAUUCGAAGCAACGCGCAGAACCUUACCUAGGCUUGAACUCCUACGAACCCGUUGUAAUGGACGGGGUGCCCGCAAGGGAAUGUAGUGAGAGGUGCUGCAUGGCUGUCGUCAGCUCGUGUUGUGAAAUGUUGGGUUAAGUCUCGCAACGAGCGCAACCCCUAUCGUCUGUUGCCAGCAUUAAGUUGGGCACUCUGACGAGACUGCCUGGGUUAACCAGGAGGAAGGUGGGGAUGACGUCAAGUCCUCAUGGCCCUUAUGUCUAGGGCUACACACGUAAUACAACGGCGCGUACAGAGGGAAGCGAACUCGCGAGGGGGAGCAAAUCUCAAAAAGCGCGCCUCAGUUCGGAUUGGAGUCUGCAACUCGACUCCAUGAAGUUGGAAUCGCUAGUAAUCGGAGAUCAGCACGCUCCGGUGAAUACGUUCCCGGGCCUUGUACACACCGCCCGUCACACCAUGGGAGUUGUUUUCAUUUUAAGACGUGACUCUAACCGCAAGGGGGAGAGCGUCUACAGUGGGAGCGAUGACUGGGGUGAAGUCGUAACAAGGUAACC